UACGAAGGGGGCUAGCGUUGCUCGGAAUCGCUGGGCGUAAAGGGUGCGUAGGCGGGUCUUUAAGUCAGGGGGGAAAUCCUGGAGCUCAACUCCAGAACUGCCUUUGAUACUGAAGAUCUUGAGUUCGGGAGAGGUGAGUGGAACUGCGAGUGUAGAGGUGAAAUUCGUAGAUAUUCGCAAGAACACCAGUGGCGAAGGCGGCUCACUGGCCCGAUACUGUCGCUGAGGCACGAAAGCGUGGGGAGCAAACAGG
rnacentral:rRNA from 1 species